AGAAUUCCAGGUGUAGCGGUGAAAUGCGUAGAGAUCUGGAGGAAUACCGGUGGCGAAGGCGGCCCCCUGGACGAAGACUGACGCUCAGGUGCGAAAGCGUGGGGAGCAAACAGGAUUAGAUACCCUGGUAGUCCACGCCGUAAACGAUGUCGACUUGGAGGUUGUGCCCUUGAGGCGUGGCUUCCGGAGCUAACGCGUUAAGUCGACCGCCUGGGGAGUACGGCCGCAAGGUUAAAACUCAAAUGAAUUGACGGGGGCCCGCACAAGCGGUGGAGCAUGUGGUUUAAUUCGAUGCAACGCGAAGAACCUUACCUGGUCUUGACAUCCACGGAAGUUUUCAGAGAUGAGAAUGUGCCUUCGGGAACCGUGAGACAGGUGCUGCAUGGCUGUCGCCAGCUCGUGUUGUG
rnacentral:rRNA from 1 species